rnacentral:rRNA from 1 species
CCUACGGGUGGCAGCAGUGGGGAAUAUUGCGCAAUGGGCGAAAGCCUGACGCAGCGACGCCGCGUGAGGGAUGAAGGUCUUCGGAUCGUAAACCUCUGUCAGCAGGGAAGAACGGUCACUGUGCUAAUCACCAGUGAAUUGACGGUACCUGCAAAGGAAGCACCGGCUAACUCCGUGCCAGCAGCCGCGGUAAUACGGAGGGUGCGAGCGUUAAUCGGAAUUACUGGGCGUAAAGCGCUCGUAGGCGGUAUGUCAAGUCAAGGGUGAAAUCCCCGCGCUCAACGUGGGAACUGCCUGUGAUACUGGCAAGCUGGAGUGUGGUAGAGGAUAGUGGAAGUCCAGGGGUAGGAGUGAAAUGCGUAGAUAUCUGGAGGAAAACCAGUGGCGAAGGCGACUAUCUGGCACAUAACUGACGCUGAGGAGCGAAAGCGUGGGGAGCAAACAGGAUUAGAUACCCCAGUAGUC